rnacentral:snoRNA from 1 species
UCGGCCCCUAGAGGCCUAGAGGCCUUGCAGGUGUGGCUGCUGUGUCACAUGCAUGUCAGUAGGUGGCAGAGAGGAGAGAGGCUAUGUCUAUGUUCAGUGUUCUGACCUACGAACACCUGAAUGAUUAGUAGCCUAACGUU